UAGCGAAAUUCCUUGUCGGGUAAGUUCCGACCCGCACGAAAGGCGUAAUGAUUUGAGCGCUGUCUCGACAAUGCACCCGGUGAAAUUGAAAUACCAGUGAAGAUGCUGGUUACCUGCGCCAGGACGGAAAGACCCCAUGGAGCUUUACUCCAGCUUGAUACUGGGAUUCGGUACUGCAUGUACAGGAUAGGUGGGAGACUGAGAACUAUGAACGCCAGUUUGUAGGGAGUCGCUGUUGGGAUACCACCCUUGCGGUAUUGGAUUUCUAACCUGCAGCCGUGAACCGGCUGGGGGACAAUGUCAGGCGGGGAGUUUGACUGGGGCGGUCGCCUCCGAAAGGGUAUCGGAGGCGCUCAAAGGUUCCCUCAUAAUGGUUGGAAACCAUUAGAAGAGUGCAAAGGCAUAAGGGAGCUUGACUGCGACACCGACGGGUGGAGCAGGUACGAAAGUAGGACUUAGUGAUCCGGUGGUAUGAAAGUGGGAUUGCCAUCGCUCAACGGAUAAAAGCUACCCUGGGGAUAACAGGCUUAUCACUCCCAAGAGUUCACAUCGACGGAGUGGUUUGGCACCUCGAUGUCGGCUCAUCGCAUCCUGGGGCUGUAGCAGGUCCCAAGGGUUGGGCUGUUCGCCCAUUAAAGCGGUACGCGAGCUGGGUUCAGAACGUCGUGAGACAGUUCGGUCCCUAUCCGGCGCGGGCGUAGGAUAUUUGAGAGGAGCUGUCCUUAGUACGAGAGGACCGGGAUGGACUGACCUCUGGUGUACCUGUUGCACUGCCAAGUGCAUGGCCGGGUAGCCAAGUCGGGACGGGAUAAACGCUGAAGGCAUCUAAGCGUGAAGCCCCCCUCAAGAUGAGAUAUCCCAUAACGUAAGUUAGUAAGACCCCUUGAAGACGACGAGGUAGAUAGGCAGAAGGUGGAAGUGUGGUGACAUAUGGAGCUGAUCUGUACUAAUAGGUCGAGGGCUUAACCAA
rnacentral:rRNA from 1 species